CCUACACGACCGUACCGCAAACCGACACUGGUGCGCGAGAUGAGUAUUCUAAGGCGCUUGAGAGAACUCAGGAGAAGGAACUCGGCAAAUUGACACCGUAACUUCGGAAGAAGGUGUGCCUUUAGUAGGUGAACCAUUUACUUGGGGAGCCCAAUGAGGCUGCAAAAAAUCGGUGGCUGCAACUGUUUAUUAAAAACACAGCACUCUGCUAAGACGAAAGUCGACGUAUAGGGUGUGACGCCUGCCCGGUGCUGGAAGAUUAAAUGAUGGGGUGCAAGCUCUUGAUUGAAGUCCCAGUAAACGGCGGCCGUAACUAUAACGGUCCUAAGGUAGCGAAAUUCCUUGUCGGGUAAGUUCCGACCUGCACGAAUGGCGUAAUGAUGGCCACACUGUCUCCUCCUGAGACUCAGCGAAGUUGAAAUGUUUGUGAUGAUGCAAUCUCCCCGCGGAAAGACGGAAAGACCCCAUGAACCUUUACUGUAGCUUUGUAUUGGACUUUGAACAGAUCUGUGUAGGAUAGGUGGGAGGCUUUGAAGUGUGGUCGCUAGAUCGCAUGGAGCCAACGUUGAAAUACCACCCUGGUGUGUUUGAGGUUCUAACCUAGGUCCAUUAUCUGGAUCGGGGACAGUGCAUGGUAGGCAGUUUGACUGGGGCGGUCUCCUCCCAAAGUGUAACGGAGGAGUUCGAAGGUACGCUAGGUACGGUCGGACAUCGUGCUAAUAGUGCAAUGGCAUAAGCGUGCUUAACUGCGAGACUGACAAGUCGAGCAGAUGCGAAAGCAGGACAUAGUGAUCCGGUGGUUCUGUAUGGAAGGGCCAUCGCUCAACGGAUAAAAGGUACUCUGGGGAUAACAGGCUGAUACCGCCCAAGAGUUCAUAUCGACGGCGGUGUUUGGCACCUCGAUGUCGGCUCAUCUCAUCCUGGGGCUGUAGCCGGUCCCAAGGGUAUGGCUGUUCGCCAUUUAAAGAGGUACGUGAGCUGGGUUUAAAACGUCGUGAGACAGUUUGGUCCCUAUCUUCCGUGGGCGCUGCAGAUUUGAGGAAGCCUGCUCCUAGUACGAGAGGACCGGAGUGGACGAACCUCUGGUGUAUCGGUUGCCACGCCAGUGGCAUUGCCGAGUAGCUAAGUUCGGAAGAGAUAACCGCUGAAAGCAUCUAAGCGGGAAACUCGUUUCAAGAUUAGAUCUGCCGGGGCCUUGAGCCCCCUAAAGAGUCGUUCAAGACCAGGACGUUGAUAGGUCAGGUGUGGAAGC
rnacentral:rRNA from 1 species